rnacentral:lncRNA from 1 species
GCCCAAACGCGACCGACCCAAAAUAAACCCGCCGACUCAAAUUCUUUUUUUGACGUUUUUUAGAAGAAUUUUUUUUUUUUGCGGAUUUUUUUCAUGUCUGCUCCGUCAUCGUAUAAAACUUAAAGUUUGUCGUCUUUGCGUUUGAAAGUAACUAUGAAUAAGAUUAAAAGAAAGCGCAUAAGAGAUGCAGUUAAUCGAUAUUUGAUGUUCUCUGUUUUUAUGUUCUGACUUAACGAACGUAAAGAAGUGAAACAUGUGAAGUGGCACAGUUUUUUUUACGCUCUAGUUGUCUGUCAUGUCUGUACUACCAAACCCUUACCUAUAUGCUCAAUGUUAAUU